UGUUGGUUAUGAAAUAGUUAAUAAUGCUUCACCCCCCUGUUAAUUUUAACCACAUUGACUUGACAUACCUUACAAAUCAAAGUUAUGGCCCAUCUAGUCUACAACAUAUUAAGGUAUUGUAUUAUACUGUUUGCAAAAAUAACUCUGAAAAAUCUCUGUCAAAGUUCAUGUAUUGCUAUUUAAGUUAUAAAAGCCUCAAGUAGUUUAUUUUGUAUUUCUAAACCUGCCUAAAAGGCCUCAUCAAUUCCCUGAACCUAAGACACACUGUACCGAUACGUCAGGGAUUAUCAGGAAUCAAGGUAAAACCCAAGUGCAGACCUUGUGAAGUAACCAUGUUUAUUGUAACACCAGGGGCAGGCAAACAGGUCAAGACAGGCAGACUUAGGGUCAGGCAGAGAUCAGUAAUCCAGAGGUGGAGCAAAGGUACCGGACAGCAGGCAGGCUCAAGGUCAGGCAGAGUUCAGUAAUCCAGAGGUGGAGCAAAGGUACCAGACAGCAGGCAGGCUCAGGGUCAGGCAGAGUUCAGUAAUCCAGAGGUGGAGCAAAGGUACCGGACAGCAGGCAGGCUCAGGGUCAGGCAGAGUUCAGUAAUUCAGAGGGGGCAAAGGUACAGGACAGAAGGCAGGCUCAGGCUCAGGGACAGGCAGAGAUCAGUAAUCCAGAGUUGGAGCAAAGGUACAGGACAGAAGGCAGGCUCAGGGACAGGCAGAGAUCAGUAAUCCAGAGGUGGAGCAAAGGUACAGGACAGAAGGCAGGCUCAGGCUCAGGGACAGGCAGAGAUCAGUAAUCUAGAAGGGGGCAAGGUGCAGGACAGAAGGCAGGCUCAGGGUCAGGGACAGGCAGAGUUCAGUAAGCCAGAGGGGUGCAAGGUACAGGACAGAAGGCAGGCUCAGGCUCAGGGACAGGCAGAGUUCAGUAAUCCAGAGGCGGGCAAGGUACAGGAUGGCAGGCAGGCUCAGGGUCAGGGACAGGCAGAGUUCAGUAAUCCAGAGGGGGCAAGGUACAGGACGGCAGGCAGGCUCAGGGUCAGGGACAGGCAGAGUUCAGUAAUCCAGAGGGGGCAAGGUACAGGACAGAAGGCAGGCUCAGGGUCAGGUCAGGGACAGGCAGAGUUCAGUAAUCCAGAGGGGGGCAAGGUACAGGACGGCAGGCAGGCUCAGGGUCAGGGACAGGCAGAGUUCAGUAAUCCAGAGGGGGUAAGGUACAGGACAGAAGGGUGGCUCAGGGGCAGGUAGAGUGGUCAGUCAGGCGAGAAAAGAGAGACUAGAAAAAGCAGCAGCUGACAUGACGAACACUGGUAAACUUGACAAAUAAGAGGAACUGGCAACAGACAAACAGAAAACACAGGUAUAAGUACACAGGGGAUAAUGGGGAAGAUGGGUGACACCUGGAGGUGGUCGAGACAAGCACAAU
ensembl:lncRNA